rnacentral:rRNA from 1 species
CACGUAGGCACCAAGCGUUGUCCGGAUUUACUGGGCGUAAAGCGCACGUAGGCGGAUCGUUAAGUCAGGGGUGAAAUCCUGGGGCUCAACCCCAGAACUGCCUUUGAUACUGGCGAUCUCGAGUCCGGAAGAGGUGAGUGGAACUCCUAGUGUAGAGGUGGAAUUCGUAGAUAUUAGGAAGAACACCAGUGGCGAAGGCGGCUCACUGGUCCGGUACUGACGCUGAGGUGCGAAAGCGUGGGGAGCAAACAGG